rnacentral:rRNA from 1 species
CCUACGGGUGGCAGCAGUAGGGAAUAUUGCUCAAUGGGGGAAACCCUGAAGCAGCAACGCCGCGUGGAGGAUGAAGGUCUUCGGAUCGUAAACCUCUGUCAGCAGGGAAGAACGGUCACUGUGCUAAUCAGCAGUGAAUUGACGGUACCUGCAAAGGAAGCACCGGCUAACUCCGUGCCAGCAGCCGCGGUAAUACGGAGGGUGCGAGCGUUAAUCGGAAUUACUGGGCGUAAAGCGCUCGUAGGCGGUAUGUCAAGUCAAGGGUGAAAUCCCCGCGCUCAACGUGGGAACUGCCUUUGAAACUGGCAAACUGGAGUGUGUGAGAGGAUAGUGGAAUUCCAGGUGUAGGAGUGAAAUCCGUAGAUAUCUGGAGGAACAUCAGUGGCGAAGGCGACUAUCUGGCACAUAACUGACGCUGAGGAGCGAAAGCGUGGGUAGCAAACAGGAUUAGAUACCCCUGUAGUC